UGUGGGAGUGAAACGCAUGGACCUUGCUUAUAUAGUUAGCAGAGGAUGAAGCUUAAGAACAAACAAUACGAGCUGCAUCUCAUUAAACGAGGGAACCAGACGAACCCGGCACCCCAAAGCCACUGGCGGGCCGCUGAGUCAAUGGCAGACACAGCGUCUAGGUGUCAAGUUCAAUGCUCACCUGAACUCUGCGCAACGCGGGUGCCUCCACCAGAUCUACACGAGACGACGCGAUGCUAUUGCAAGAGCUGCUGCUGCUGCUGCUGUUCGCCGCUGCCCGCUGCUGUGCGUGCAUCGACAGCGAGCGAGGCGCACAACGUCGAUUGACCGACGAAUGAUUUUGUUGUAGAGGGGGGAAAAAAAGCUAAAUUGUAAUAGUUUGUUUUAAAGACUUUAGUUUGUUUGUCGUGUGUGUGUAUAUAUAUACAUACACAUGGAGACGCAGAGAGAGAGAGAUACUGACUUGGGAGUCUGUUGAACGCUAGCGAAUGCUCAACUGGCUGGCUUGGCGGACGAUGAGAGCUGUCGUGAAUUUAUUUUUCCGUCUCUUGUUGAAAAAGCAUCAAGAUCUUCCGAGCGCAAGAAUUCCACCCUCGCAGCCGCCUCACUCGACCUCCUUACGUCACGUGAAGUGGGUGCCUUGAGCGCUCUGAACAAACCUCGGAUGGGAUCCGUUGCCACGAGUCGACGAGUCCACCCGAGUCCCUUCUCGAGACCGACUGGAGAAGUUUGUGGCUACGCCCCGGGCUUUACCAAUUUCUCACAGCUCGAAAUUUUGUUUUCGUCUCCGGAAACGCUGCUAGACUGGAUUGGAAUCGGGCGUAAGGCACUACCGCUAGAAUACCAAGGUAUGCCUCUUCAUAAUGGUCCUAUAUGAUUGUAUUCCUAUAAUCCUAUAAACGUGUUAAUUAAAAAUAUGAGGACAGUGUAAGGCGAAGUGGAUGUUGCUGUGAGCUAAAAUCAUUCAUGGAACAACCUUUGCGGACUAUCCAGGGCUGCAGUUAAAGUACUGAACACGCCAGGCAUAUUACCAAAGAUUCAUUUAAAAACAUCUUAGGGCAGUGCUAAGGCGUCUAUGCUCUCCCUCGCUUUUUCCAACCCGCAACUAACCAGAGUGGGGAAGUAUGGUCAAAUAGCCCUAACCACGACCCCGCAAAUUGUAGGAAGGCCCUAAACCAGCAGUGGAUUGGCAACACAGGUGAACACGCGAAUUUAUCAAUUUAACUACAUCUUAAACCCCAGAGUCACCUGGGGUACCACGGUGGCGAGAUGUUAACUACUUUGCCUGGUAUACAGGAUGUCGUGGGUUCGAUCCCGACCCUGACGUCUGUAUGUUCUCCCCAUUUGUCGCGUGGAUUUUUCUCCGGGUCCUCCGGUUCUUUGUUCCAAAUUUAGAAUCAACACGCGUUCAGAGUACUUGAAUGCUAUACAUUAGCACGUGGCUACAGCCACUUCGCUGAUCCAUCAUUUGUGACCAGGUCGCUUCUGAAAAAGAGCUAUGUAAAGUCACGUAGGUAGAAAUAAAAUAAAAUAAUCAUUUCAUUUAUUAUUUCAUUUCUACCUACGUGACUUUACCGAAAGAACCAAAGAGGAUGGAUUCCUGCAGUUACGAAAGCUUCAAAUCAAGAUUAAGAGCUAUGUAGCUCAGUGGGUCUUUACCUGGUGAAGUAACAAAUGACAUAGUUUCAUUUUUGAAGAUCUGGUCAUGGUUACGGGAUAGAUUUAAUGAAAGUAGGAAUUGCCACCUGAUAACUAAAUUGAACUUAUUCAGCCUGUCCCAUCCCCCCCCCCCCCCCCCUUAAAAACGCCAGUAACAAACAGCACUUUUAAAGUUAUAAUAUAUGAGUGUAACACGUUUAUUGACUUGAGCACGGGUUGUAAGAGACUACAGCAAAAUGAAACGACGGCAUGGUUACUUGUCGUGGGAAACUCUACGAUCUUUUAUUACUCAAAUAUACUCUAACGUUACCUCCGUUUUCAAUAUUCGUAAUCGUGUCUCUGUAGCUUAACCAAGGGCCUCCAUAGAGCCCAACGUGUUCGCAUAACGACCAUUCCCCCUGUUAACGACUGGCUGUUGUAGGUACAGUAACUAUUAAUUCAUGCAUUGAUUAACCGUGUUUCUUUUCACAUUAUUUGUUUACAAUGUUGUUAGUAUUUUUACGUACUAAUGUCCUUUAAUUAAAUAUUGUAACUUAAGUUUUUUGGGUGAAAAAGGGUAACUUUUGAUGCUGUCGGAACGAAUUAAGCCUUGAACAUGUAUUUCCUAUAUUCGCUUAAAGACCAAAUCACUUUUACGAUCGGUUUCGUGGAACCAAUCACCACCGUUAAGAGGGGUUCUACUGGAAUUCACGUUUUUUUGUAUUUAUAUGAUAUACAUAUUUUUAUAUUAAAAACCUAUACUAAUAAUAAUUUAGAUGUCUUAAAAUAUAUAAUAAACAUAUUUAUACAUCGUAUAUUUUUGAUACCACUUUAUAUAUUGUGACAUGAAGAAGGACCAUUGCCCAUAACGUCGUAUAUGAUGUACAAUUAAUUCCAAAAAAACACAUUUUACCCUCGCAUAAGAUAACAAAAAAGGGGCAUUGCCCAAACAUCGCCGAUAUAUGUAGCAGUAUCGACGCUACGGCCAAUGUCGUUUUUUACAUUUAUCAUGAACUUAGCGGAGUCACAAGUCAUUCGCUUAGUACAUAAUAAGUGGAUAAGUCGAUAUUCAUACUGAAAUCAUAAAUACAAAUCAUAGCAGUACCUUACAACUAAAUGUCAACCCAUCUGCGAGAUGAAGGCCGACAGUGAUGACGAUAUCACUUUUUUGUCUUUAUUGAUCGUUCAGAUUUUGCAAAAAAACGUGCUUCACCUGUUCCUUUGACCAGCAAACAGCUGUUAACAACAACACGACGUUUCGGGAAACGGUCCUUCUUCAAAUAGAACGGAGCAAUUAAGCAGGACUGUUGCCUAAAACGUUGACUAGUGUAUGAAGUAGUUGCCCAAUGUGUUGAGUUUUAUUUGCGCUUGGUGCACAGUAUCACCAAAACAAAAGUAGCAUUUUCAAAUUGUGAAUGUGCAAUAGUAAUAAUAAACUUGGAAUGUAUCCUGAA